UACGUAGGGGGCAAGCGUUGUCCGGAUUUAUUGGGCGUAAAGAGCGUGUAGGCGGUUGUGUAGGUCCGUUGUGAAAACUCGAGGCUCAACCUCGAGACGCCGAUGGAAACCCUCCAGCUAGAGUCCGGAAGAGGAGAGUGGAAUUCCUGGUGUAGCGGUGAAAUGCGCAGAUAUCAGGAAGAACACCCGUGGCUAAGGCGGCUCUCUAGUACGGUACUGACGCUGAGACGCGAAAGCGUGGGGAGCGAACAGG
rnacentral:rRNA from 1 species